AUGCUGGUAUGUCCUUGCCCAAGCCUGGGGUGCACAGAGAAGGCUUCCUGGAAAGGGAGUAGUCUUGGUGCUUGAAGAGGAGGGCACUGGUUGAGGCUGGAAACAGAGCAGACAAAACCUUUCGCCCAAGGUAGUGGGGAGAUU
rnacentral:SRP_RNA from 1 species